AGCCGCGGGGCCGCAGCUUCCCGCCAUGCCAAUGCUCCGCACGGAGAAAGUGCUGCUGCUGCGGGGCCAGCAGGGCCGCUCGGUGCGCGUCGUGCGGGAGCACUACCUCCGCCCCGACGUGCCGUGCCGCUGCGCCCUGUGCCGGGCCGCCUGUCCUCGCGAUGGCAAAUUGUUAUCGGAUGAUGUUACACAUUAUGUUGUCCCUGACUGCAAGGUUGUUCAAGAUUACCUUGAGAUUCUCGAGUUUCCAGAGCUGAAAGGUAUUAUUUUCAUGCAAACAGCAUGUCAAGCUGUGCAACAUCAAAAAGGACGCAGACAAUACAACCAGUUACGAAAUCUAGUAAAGGAUGCCCGUCAUGACUGUAUCGUGUUUGCUAAUGAAUUCCACCAGCAUUCUUACUUGCCAAGAGAGAAGGGAGAAUCCAUGGAGAAAUGGCAGACCAGGAGUAUUUACAAUGCAGCAGUCUGGUAUUACAAUCACUGCUUGGGUCAGAUGCCAGUUGUUAUGGUAACAGAAGAUGAAGAUGCUAUCAGGCAGUACGGAAAUGAAACAGAAGGAGUGUUUGUGAUUUCCUUCAAGAAUUACUUGGAUAACUUUUGGCCUGACUUAAAGGCUGCCCAUGAACUCUUUGACUCUAUACUUCAAGCUCAGCGUGAACGGGAGAGUGAAAGCCAAGAAAACAAUGGAAAAGAAUAUCCUGAGCACUUACCUGUGGAAAUAUUGGAGGCUGGGAUCAAAUCUGGAAGAUAUAUACAGGGUAUACUGCAUGUCAGUAAGCAUAGAGCACAACUGGAAGCUCUUGUUCGACUUCAGGGAUUUGGCAACAAAGAAACAGAACUUCAAAGUGACAUCCUUAUUUAUGGGGCCAGAGCUCGAAAUCGUGCAAUCCAUGGUGAUGUCGUAGCUGUUGAGUUACUACCUUUGCAGGAAUGGAAAGGAAGGACUGUUGCCCUUUGUGAAAAUGAGACUGAGGAUAAACCACCUGCAGACACCAUUAGUGACCCUAUGCCCACAGGUAAAGUUGUUGGAAUCAUUCAAAAGAACUGGAGGGAUUAUGUGGUCACUUUCCCUUCUAAAGAAGAGAGCCAGUCCCAGGGCAGAAAUGCUCAGAAAAUCCUUGUUAUACCUUUGGACUAUAGAAUUCCCAAAAUCCGGAUCAGUACCCAGCAAGCUGAAGCAUUACAGGAUUAUAGAGUUGUCGUGCGUAUUGAUUCUUGGGAGUCAACUUCUGUGUAUCCAAAUGGACAUUUCGUCAGAGUUCUAGGAAGAAUUGGAGAUCUUGAGGGGGAAAUUGCAGCUAUUCUGGUGGAGAACAGCAUUUGUGUUGCCCCUUUCUCAGAGAUCCAGAUGAGUGAAAUGCCUGUGAGCUCUUCAAAGAGUCCUUGGAAAGUGAAUCCAGAGGAGGAAAAAAAACGUCUUGACUUGAGAGACACACACCUGAUAUUCAGCAUUGACCCGCAAGGCUGCGAGGAUGUGGAUGAUGCACUCUCGGUUAGAACUCUGCCUAAUGGGAAUCUAGAGUUAGGUGUCCACAUUGCAGAUGUAACCCAUUUUGUGGCAGCAAAUUCUUACACUGAUGUUGAGGCCAGAGCAAGGGCAACAACUUACUAUUUAGCGGAUCGUCGUUACAACAUGCUGCCGUCUGUCUUGAGUGCUGACAUAUGCUCUCUUCUUAGUGGAGUUGAUAGGUAUGCUGUAAGUGUCUUGUGGGAACUAGAAAAAGAAUCAUACGAAAUGCUGAGAGUCUGCUACAACAAAACCAUCAUUCGAUCUGCAUACAAGCUCGUUUACGAAGCAGCGCAGGGAUUAUUAGAUGGAGACACAAGUGUUGUUGGCGAUAUCCUGGAACUGAAAAACUUGGAUGAAAGAACUAGACAGAAGAAGUUGGCUGAACUGGUUUGGGCAAUAUCAAAACUCACUGAUAUAGCACGACACCUUAGAGCUAAGCGGGACAGCUGUGGUGCUUUGGAACUAGAAGGGGUAGAAAUCCAAGUGCAACUGGAUGAUAAACAUAAAAUCUACGGUCUCAUCCGCAAGGAGCCGCUGGAGGUGCAGGACACUGUAGCGGAAUGUAUGAUUCUUGCCAACCACUGGGUGGCAAAGAAGAUUUCUGAAAAUUUUCCUCAUCAAGCUUUGUUGCGUCAACACCCUCCACCACGACAGGAAUUUUUUACUAGACUUCGAGAAUGUGCCAGUGCCAAAGGUUUCUCAAUAGACACACGGUCUAACAAAACAUUGGCUGAGUCUCUGGAUAAAGCAAAUGACCCAUUGGAUCCAAUUGUAAAUAAACUGUUGCGAUCUAUGGCUACUCAAGCAAUGUCUAAUGCAUUGUACUUCUCAACUGGCUCUUGUCCUGAGGAAGAGUUUCAUCAUUAUGGACUUGCCUUAGAGAAGUACACUCAUUUCACUUCUCCAAUUAGAAGAUACGCUGAUAUUGUUGUCCACAGACUCUUGACGGCAGCAACACUGAAUGAAACUAAAGGAGAUGUUAAGGAUUAUAUAUUCAGCAAUAAGGAUCUUCAGGAAUUGUGCAGACAUAUUAAUAACAGAAAACAGGCAGCACAUCGUGCUCAGAAACAGUCUACUAAACUCUUCCGGUGCAUGUACUUAAAAGACACAACCACAGAAACAGAGGAGCGCUGCAUAGCAGAUGGUGUUAUUUACUCAAUUCGAACAAAUGGUGUGCUUGUUUUUGUACCAAGGUGAGUUGAUGAGAGCUUGGACUGAGCUUAAAAAUAAGACCUAAGUGUUACUAGAAUGCUGUGAGGACACCUCUGGUCCUUGAGAAAGGAAGUGUUUAUAGUGUGGCCUGGUGUUGACCAAUGACUACGUUUUAGAUUUUUGUUGUAAAUCAUAGCAGUGCUUUUCUAUGCAUUCACUCUGAAAAGGGAGUUCCUGUGAGGAAAUGGUAAGACUCUGCCGCACAGUAUAAAGUGAUUUUGCAAAUCACAAAGCCAUGCAUUCCUCAGCACUCUUGUCCUUCACUACCGACUGUAGUUUAUGCAGGCUAGGAGCACCUUUUGAGCAGCUACUCCUCGUAGGCAGCAGGGAAACAUAGAAGUGUUUACAUGGUGCUGUUUGUGGCAGUUAGGCUCUUCCGAGUGCCUGUAUCUCAGCUCAGCCUCUGAUUAACGCUAAGUAGAAAGCAACUGUUUGCAUGAAGCUAACGCUACAUUUUAAUUUCUGAGCUUUUAAAUCUGUAUUUUAAAGUAUACUAAAUGUGUUCUGCUAAUGUUAUAAAUAGACUAGUGAAUGAUGUAAGAAGGCAUUAGUCCAUGUAGAACUGGAGAGCACUGCCUUUCCUAAGACUUGGCCAGCUCUUCAAGCUGCAGGGGAGAGAACUACCUUUCCUCUUCCUAGACAUUUUGGAUUAGUUAAUGAUCUACGUGUUUGUGCAUUAUUGGCAGUAACACUGUCUACCUGGCUAGCUAACAGGUACGAGAAAUGUAGGCAUAAGAACCCUUCUUA